CGGAUCUGGAAGAUCAUCGAUUACAGGAGCAAGUUGACGACCUUAAUAUCAAGCCUGAUGGAAAGUGAAGCUCGAUUUCAUUUGAAAAAUGUUCAGUACCAAAAUCUGGACUUUCUCAAUCAUAUCUUUUUAGAAAUGGUGGUACAGUCUGUUUCUCUGGUUUAAUCAGACCUUACAAUACGUCACAAAAAGUGACCUCAUACCAAAAAUCAAUUCGCGUCUAAAGCCAAUGGAUUUGCUACUUAUUUUUAGAGUGUAUCAAGAAUCAAGUCCAACGUUUUUAGCAUGACACGGAGAAUUUGAGAUUGGCCAAAAUUCGUUACAAGGUGUGUGACUCGGACAAAUAGACAAACUGCCAUAGCCAAGGGCUUAGCCACUCGGAAGAAAGUGACACACUGAUUGCAGACUACACAGACUAGAUUAAGAUUGCAGAUGGUUUUAUGAUGACAACGUGAUUACAGUGAUAGCUAAAUCGCUACAGUAAGGGGUGACACAACGACUGCUUUAGUGGUUAACCCCUGGGUCAUGGUGACCUCAGAUGUAGCUUCGGUUGUCUAUCUGCUGGUGCAGAAUGGCAAAUUUCACAGAAUCUUGGUACACAGUACGUAUAAUUUCGAAGAAACAUUUACACAGUGGAUGCGAACAUUGAAUGCGUCUAAUAGGAUUAACAUUAGCGGACUGAAGUGACUCCACCUCCUGUUCGGCGAGGGUUUCAACGUCGGCCUCGUGCCUACGCCAGACAAGGGGCGGUGGCGGUGUUCCAGUAACGUCGCAUUUGAUUUCAACGUUGUCGCCAACCCUGACAGAGACAUGAUUCACCUCUCGCGACUUGUCCAGGGAGACUACCGAUACGCCUGGAAGUCAAUAUGAAAUUCGGAGACCCGUCACACUAGAUUGCUCGUCACAGAUUUAUGAUAGCCCAUUACAAACCCUCGUACCUGCUCGAUGAAGGCAUCGCAUGAGCCUACUGGCGAUUAGCGGGAUAC